UACGUAGGGACCGAGCGUUGUCCGGAUUCAUUGGGCGUAAAGCGCGUGUAGGCGGCUCGGUAAGUCCGCUCUGAAAGCCCGGGGGCUCAACCCCCGGGAGGCGGGUGGAUACUGUCGAGCUCGAGUCCGGAAGAGGCAAGUGGAAUUCCCCGGUGUAGCGGUGAAAUGCGCAGAUAUCGGGAGGAACACCAAUGGCGAAGGCAGCUUGCUGGGACGGUACUGACGCUGAGACGCGAAAGCGUGGGGAGCAAACAGG
rnacentral:rRNA from 1 species